UACGAAGGGGGCUAGCGUUGCUCGGAAUCACUGGGCGUAAAGGGUGCGUAGGCGGGUCUUUAAGUCAGGGGUGAAAUCCUGGAGCUCAACUCCAGAACUGCCUUUGAUACUGAAGAUCUUGAGUUCGGGAGAGGUGAGUGGAACUGCGAGUGUAGAGGUGAAAUUCGUAGAUAUUCGCAAGAACACCAGUGGCGAAGGCGGCUCAC
rnacentral:rRNA from 1 species